CCGGGAGCGGUGGGACCACCAGAUUGCCUAAGGAGGGGUGAACUGGCCCAGGUCAGAAAUGGAGCAGGUCAAAACUUCUGUGCUGAUCAGUAGUGGGAUCGUGACUAUGAAUAGCCAUGUGCAAGUAGCCAACUGACCAAAGCUGGGCCAA